ACUCCAUGAUGAAUGUAAAAUGACAAGCAUAUGACUGAGCUUGAAGUGAUGUCAUCUUACUACUGAGAAGU